rnacentral:rRNA from 1 species
CCUACGGGGGGCAGCAGUGAGGAAUAUUGGUCAAUGGGCUAGAGCCUGAACCAGCCAAGUCGCGUGAAGGAUGAAUGAUCUAUGGUUUGUAAACUUCUUUUAUAUGGGAAUAACGUGAGCCACGUGUUCCUUUUUGUAUGUACCAUAUGAAUAAGCAUCGGCUAACUCCGUUCCAGCAUCCGCCGUAAUACGGAGGAUUCGAGCGUUCUCCGGAUUUAUUUGGUUUAAAGGGUGCGUAGGUGGUAAAUUAAGUCAGCGGGGAAAGUUUGUGGCUCAACCAUAAAAUUGCCGUUGAAACUGGUUGACUUGAGUAUAUUUGAGGUAGGCGGAAUGCGUGGUGUAGCGGUGAAAUGCAUAGAUAUCACGCAGAACUCCGAUUGCGAAGGCAGCUUACUAAACUAUAACUGACACUGAAGCACGAAAGCGUGGGGAUCAAACAGGAUUAGAUACCCCAGUAGUC